UGUUCUGGAAGAGAGGUGAGACACUGGAGCUGCAGUGUGAAACUUAUCCUGUUUGGGGAAAAGUGUUUUGGGACCUUUUGGAAACUGUUUUCUGCACAAUUACCUCUGAGCCGGAGGAUUAUUUAUCCAUAGAGGUGGAUGGCCUAGUAGCAAGGACCAGCUACUAUAUGCUGCCCUAAAAACUGAGGGACUAAAGUGUAGCCGCUUCUGAGAAAGCACAGGGAUUCUACAAAAGACUCAUUCACUUAUAACUAAACCUACAGAAGGAAUGCUUUAAUGCAAGAUAACGGAUGUAUAAAGCCCAGCUCGGUGUGCAUAAAUUGACACAAGUUGCACCUCUGAUGGAAAGAACAACAGAAGGAAUUUUGACCUGAUAUUUCCUACCGUUAUCUCCAGGAGAAUUUAACCUUGGAAAGUCUCAUAGAAAGGAAUUCCCCACGUGUCACUGUGGAGUACUGGGACACAUCUAACUCCCACUGAACUGUGGUCUGAUUGAAGAAACCACAAGAAGGAAGGCAAGAAGAUUUGCUGAUGUUAAAGGUCCCAGAGGAGUGCAGAAACAGAGCGGGUUUUUUUGUUUUUUUUCUAAGGUGCCAACCAUGUUUGAGGAGGUGUAGCGUCCCCUAGCCUUAUUGAAAACCGGCCUAUGCUCCACAUUACAUGACUGACUGGCUCAUUGAGCAAACUUUCCUAUUCUGUGCAAGUGGUAAGAACUGCAGAAAAUGAAAAGGAGCCAACAGUGCACUGGUCGAUGAAAUUUUGAAAAUGGACAGAUCAUCUUUCAAACAGGACUGAACUAUAGUUUAUUGUAACCGAACCGAUUUCUUACAUAUAUGCCCAGUUAGUUGGUCAGUAUGGUUUAAAUUGGUCCUACUUCCGGACUAAAUUCAGGCAUGUACUGUAUAGCCAAGUUUAGAGUAAUUGCCACAACAGUUGCUUUUAGAGGCAAUGAGCUGUGAGGAGGUGACAUUCUGAGCUCAUUACAUUUUAGCAAGUGAAAAAUCUUAUUAUGGUGCUUUCUCCUCCCUUGUAAACAUACUGCAAAUAUGCAAUGAACCAAGAACUCUUUAGUGAGAGAAAUGCAUUCAGUUUCAAUAUUAUCCCUUUUAUUAAAAUAUCUGCUUAGAUAAAAUUAAUGUAGUUCAUUGCUUUACUAUUUCCUCAGUAUGCAUUCUAAGCUCAUUUCUAUUAAUGUGGCCCCAAAGUAACUAAUGAUCUUCAUCUUGCUAAAUCUCUAUUAUUCAGAUUUAUCUUUGACCUUUCAGCACUAUUUAACACCGCCGACCAUAGCCUUCUCCAUCAUAUACUCCAUUCAGCUGGGACAGGAUAUAAAGCCUCUUUAUAGUUUUACUCCUCCUUAUUACAGCAGUCCUGAUAAGUCUAUAAAUUUUCCUCAUCCUAUAUAUACAUAUAUAUUUUUUUUUUGACCAAUGUACAAUUUCUUUCUAUAUUCUGGGGACUGCAGCUGUCUAUGUUAGAUAAACCCUAAAAACUACACAUGGUAAUUGUUCGUUGGGACAUUAAGGCCUCGGGGGGCAUGAAUAGGGUUGGAAGACCAUAACUGUUUUUAAUCCUCUCUAUAUUAAGGAGCCUGUGGCUGAGGGCAGUUACAAAUCAACAUGAAUCAACUCUGCGUUAAAGCCAAUACUCUCUAUUACUGUGGUAUAAUUGUCCGAAGUUUAGCAAAGAAUUUCGUUCAUUCUCCUUUUGUAGAUAUGUGCUCUUUCAUUAAAUAAACAUGCAUGAUAAGGUACUAA